rnacentral:tRNA from 1 species
AGGUAGCCGUAUCGGAAGGUGCGGCUGGAUCACCUCCUUUUGAGCAUGACGUCAUCGUCCUGUCGGGCGUCCUCACAAAUUACCUGCAUUCAGAGAUUCAUACCGGCACAGGUCGGUAUGCGAAGUCCCUUUUGGGGCCUUAGCUCAGCUGGGAGAGCACCUGCUUUGCAAGCAGGGGGUCGUCGGUUCGAUCCCGACAGGCUCCACCAUAUUGAGUGAAAAGACUUCGGGUCUGUAGCUCAGGUGGUUAGAGCGCACCCCUGAUAAGGGUGAGGUCGGUAGUUCGAGUCUACCCAGACCCACCACUCUGAAUGUAGUGCACACUUAAGAAUUUAUAUGGAUCAGCGUUGAGGCUGAGACAUGUUCUUUUAUAACUUGUGACGUAGCGAGCGUUUGAGAUAUCUAUCUAAACGUGUCGUUGAGGCUAAGGCGGGGACUUCGAGUCCCUAAAUAAUUGAGUCGUAUGUUCGCGUUGGUGGCUUUGUACCCCACACAACACGGCAUAUCGCUCCAAGGCAACUUGGGGUUAUAUGGUCAAGCGAAUAAGCGCACACGGUGGAU